UACGUAGGGGGCAAGCGUUGUCCGGAAUCAUUGGGCGUAAAGCGCGCGUAGGCGGCCAGAUAAGUCCGGUGUGAAAGUCACAGGCUCAACCUGUGAAUGCCGCUGGAAACUGUCUGGCUUGAGUCCGGAAGGGGCGAGUGGAAUUCCUGGUGUAGCGGUGAAAUGCGCAGAUAUCAGGAGGAACACCAAUGGCGAAGGCAGCCCGCUGGAACGGUACUGACGCUGAGGCGCGAAAGCGUGGGGAGCGAACAGG
rnacentral:rRNA from 1 species